rnacentral:rRNA from 1 species
CCUACGGGCGGCUGCAGUAAGGAAUAUUGGUCAAUGGACGAAAGUCUGAACCAGCCAUGCCGCGUGAAGGAUGAAGGUCCUCUGGAUUGUAAACUUCUUUUAUCUGGGACGAAAAAAGGGAAUUCUUUCUCACUUGACGGUACCAGAAGAAUAAGCACCGGCUAACUCCGUGCCAGCAGCCGCGGUAAUACGGAGGGUGCAGGCGUUAUUGGGAUUCAAGGGUUCGUAAGGGGGCGGUUAUGGCCAUUUAGAAAUCUCCGGGCUUAACCCGGAAACUGCCAUUGAUACUAUCUGUCUUGAAUACUCUGGAGGUAAGCGGAAUAUGUCAUGUAGCGGUGAAAUGCUUAGAUAUGACAUAGAACACCGAUUGCGAAGGCAGCUUACUACGGAGUCAUUGACACUGAGGCACGAAAGCGUGGGGAUCAAACAGGAUUAGAUACCCCAGUAGUC